GGAAUGAAUCCCAAUUUCGGCAC
rnacentral:siRNA from 1 species